rnacentral:rRNA from 1 species
CCAGGCAUGGGGCGGCCUAAUAAUGCAAGUCGAACGAACUCUGGUAUUGAUUGGUGCUUGCAUCAUGAUUUACAUUUCCAGUGAGUGGCGAACUGGUGAGUAACACGUGGGAAACCUGCCCAGAAGCGGGGGAUAACACCUGGAAACAGAUGCUAAUACCGCAUAACAACUUGGACCGCAUGGUCCGAGCUUGAAAGAUGGCUUCGGCUAUCACUUUUGGAUGGUCCCGCGGCGUAUUAGCUAGAUGGUGGGGUAACGGCUCACCAUGGCAAUGAUACGUAGCCGACCUGAGAGGGCAAUCGGCCACAUUGGGACUGAGACACGGCCCAAACUCCUACGGGAGGCAGCAGUAGGGAAUCUUCCACAAUGGACGAAAGUCUGAUGGAGCAACGCCGCGUGAGUGAAGAAGGGUUUCGGCUCGUAAAACUCUGUUGUUAAAGAAGAACAUAUCUGAGAGUAACUGUUCAGGUAUUGACGGUAUUUAACCAGAAAGCCACGGCUAACUACGUGCCAGCAGCCGCGGUAAUACGUAGGUGGCAAGCGUUGUCCGGAUUUAUUGGGCGUAAAGCGAGCGCAGGCGGUUUUUUAAGUCUGAUGUGAAAGCCUUCGGCUCAACCGAAGAAGUGCAUCGGAAACUGGGAAACUUGAGUGCAGAAGAGGACAGUGGAACUCCAUGUGUAGCGGUGAAAUGCGUAGAUAUAUGGAAGAACACCAGUGGCGAAGGCGGCUGUCUGGUCUGUAACUGACGCUGAGGCUCGAAAGUAUGGGUAGCAAACAGGAUUAGAUACCCUGGUAGUCCAUACCGUAAACGAUGAAUGCUAAGUGUUGGAGGGUUUCCGCCCUUC